rnacentral:rRNA from 1 species
GUGAACCUGCCGGAAGGAUCAUUA